GUGGGGAAUAUUGGGUAAUGGGCGAAAGCCUGACCCAGCAACGCCGCGUGAAGGAAGAAGGUCUUCGGAUCGUAAACUUCUAUCCUUGGUGAAGAUAAUGACGGUAGCCGAGAAGGAAGCCCCGGCUAACUACGUGCCAGCAGCCGCGGUAAUACGUAGGGGGCAAGCGUUGUCCGGAAUGAUUGGGCGUAAAGGGCGCGUAGGCGGCCUGGUAAGUCUGGAGUGAAAGUCCUGCUUUUAAGGUGGGAAUUGCUUUGGAUACUGUCGGGCUUGAGUGCAGGAGAGGUAAGCGGAAUUCCCGGUGUAGCGGUGAAAUGCGUAGAGAUCGGGAGGAACACCAGUGGCGAAGGCGGCUUACUGGACUGUAACUGACGCUGAGGCGCGAAAGUGUGGGGAGCAAACAGGAUUAGAAACCCCGGUAGUCC
rnacentral:rRNA from 1 species